rnacentral:rRNA from 1 species
AACGAACGCUGGCGGCAUGCCUAACACAUGCAAGUCGAACGAGACCUUCGGGUCUAGUGGCGCACUGGUGCGUAACGCGUGGGAAUCUGCCCUUGGGUUCGGAAUAACAGUUAGAAAUGACUGCUAAUACCGGAUGAUGUCUUCGGACCAAAGAUUUAUCGCCCAGGGAUGAGCCCGCGUAGGAUUAGCUUGUUGGUGGGGUAAAGGCCUACCAAGGCGACGAUCCUUAGCUGGUCUGAGAGGAUGAUCAGCCACACUGGGACUGAGACACGGCCCAGACUCCUACGGGAGGCAGCAGUGGGGAAUAUUGGACAAUGGGCGAAAGCCUGAUCCAGCAAUGCCGCGUGAGUGAUGAAGGCCUUAGGGUUGUAAAGCUCUUUUACCCGGGAUGAUAAUGACAGUACCGGGAGAAUAAGCCCCGGCUAGCUACGUG